rnacentral:rRNA from 1 species
UACGUAGGUGGCAAGCGUUGUCCGGAUUUACUGGGCGUAAAGGGCGUGCAGGCGGUCUGUUAAGUGCAGGGUGAAAGCUCCCGGCUCAACUGGGAGAGGUCCUUGCAUACUGGCGGACUUGAGGGGGGUAGAGGAAAGUGGAAUUCAUGGUGUAGCAGUGAAAUGCGUAGAGAUCAUGAGGAAGACCAGUGGCGAAGGCGGGUCUCUGGACAGUUCCUGACACUGAGGCACGAAGGCCAGGGGAGCAAACGGG